rnacentral:rRNA from 1 species
CUGCAGCUCAAGUGGUGGUCAUUAUUAUUGGGCCUAAAACGUCCGUAGCCGGUUUAGUAAAUGCCUGGGUAAAUCGUGUAGCUUAACUAUACGACUUCCGGGUAGACUGCUAAACUUGAGACCGGGAGAGGCUAGAGGUACUCCUGGGGUAGAGGUGAAAUUCUGUAAUCCUGGGGGGACCACCAGUGGCGAAGGCGUCUAGCUAGAACGGGUCUGACGGUGAGGGACGAAACCCUGGGGCGCGAACCGGAUUAGAUACCCGAGUAGUCC